rnacentral:rRNA from 1 species
GAUGAACGCUGACAGCAUGCUUAACACAUCAGCAAUUGAUUGGUGGCGGACGGGUGAGUAACGCGUAAAGAACUUGCCUCACAGCUAGGGACAACAUUUGGAAACGAAUGCUAAUACCUAAUACUGUGAGAGAGGUUUGCGUCACAUUAGCUAGUUGGAGAGGUAACGGCUCACCAAGGCGAUGAUGGGGAGCCGGACUGCGAGGGUGAUCGGCCACAAGCGGACUGGGACGUGGCUCUGAGUCCUACGGGGGGCAGCAGGGGAGAAUAUUGGACAAUGGACCAAAGUCUGGUGCAGCAAUUCUGUGGGCACGAUGUAUAUUUCGGAAUGUAAAGUGUUUUCAGUUGGGAAGCGGUACCAACAGAAGAAGCGACGGCUAAAUACGUGCCAGCAGCCGCGGUAAUAC